rnacentral:rRNA from 1 species
GGGCCCGCACAAGCGGUGGAGCAUGUGGCUUAAUUCGAGGCAACGCGAAGAACCUUACCUGGUCUUGACAUGCCCGUCAUAGUUUUCCGAAAGGAAUUCGUCAGUUCGGCUGGACGGUGCACAGGUGCUGCAUGGCUGUCGUCAGCUCGUGUCGUGAGAUGUUCGGUUAAGUCCGGCAACGAGCGCAACCCUCGUUCCUAGUUGCCAGCGGGUAAUGCCGGGGACUCUAGGAAGACAAACCUCGUGUAGAGGUGGGAAGGUGGGGACGACGUCAAGUCAGUAUGGCCCUUACGACCAGGGCUGCACACGUGCUACAAUGCCCAGUACAAUGGGAUGCAACACCGCGAGGUUGAGCAAAUCCACAAAACUGGGCCCAGUUCGGAUUGGAGUCUGCAACUCGACUCCAUGAAGUUGGAAUCGCUAGUAA